UCAAACUUGGUCAUUUAGAGGAAGUAAAAGUCAUAACAAGGUUUCCAUAGGUGAACCUGUAGAAGGAUCAUUAUCGAGUUUUGACUGGGUUGUAGCUGGCCUUACGAGGCAUGUGUAUGCCCUGCUUAUCCACUUUAUACCUGUGCACUUACUGUGGGUUUUAGAUCAUAAAGUGGACCUAUAGGUUUGCAAAGCGCAUCUGUGCCUACAUUUAUUAUAAACUCUAUAAAGUAUCAGAAUGUGUAUUGCGAUGUAAUGCAUCUAUAUACAACUUUUAGCAAUGGAUCUCUUGGCUCUUGCAUCGAUGAAGAACGCAGC
rnacentral:misc_RNA from 1 species